UGGUGCCUGUGGUGGAUGUGGAGAAGCACUGUCCUUCAGAGGAUUUUCUCCCCGGCUGCCUUCAAACUGUCAGUGCCUUUAGGCUCUGCCUCAGCUAUUUGGCCUGAGGUCAUGACCUUCCCAGGGCAGCCUGCAUUGGACAGAGGGACAAAGUAUAAAGACCCAGCCAUUGCCCCAAGAAUUUUCCCAAGAUGGAACAAUUCUGAUGGGUAAUAGUCACAACAGAGCUCCCUGCCUGGUUGGUAGAAGCUUUGAUGAACCUGUAUCACAUUUCAACUUCUGCCUCAACAAGGGUGACUAACCAUCCCAGUUUGCCCAAGACUGUUCUGGUUUUAGCACGGAAAUUUCUGUGUGCCAAGAAGCUCUCAUACCAGGCAAACCAGAUGGUUGGUUGCUUCGGACCAAUCCUGCUUCCUUCCCCUUCCUUUUAAAUAUAUUGAUCCCUAAUAAUGAUUUUGCACGGCAAACUCCAUCUCAGUGUCUGCUUCCUGAGAAACCCACAUGGACAGUGCCCUGAUCACAUCACAGACAACGGACCUUCCGGCAUCAGACUGUGUGUUCCUAAUCUCCAAGCUUCUGCAGAUUAUAAAAGUGUUCUGGUAACUUGAAUGGUGUACUCAACAGAGAACAAAGGAAGAUUCUCCAGGCUCCAUACAGCCCAGGUGAAAUACUUCUCAACAAGAAUGAAAGUAGUUCACGUUCUUCAAUAUGCCAGGCAAUGAGCUCACAGUGCUUUGUCUGUGAAGGAGGACUAGGGAGAUUCCAGAUGACAGCUGAGAUGCACAUGCAUGACAAGAUGUUUACGAAAAUCAAAAUGAUAAAGGCAGCUAUCUGGAGACGCAAUUUACAGGAAGUCCAGGGGAUUAGAAAAAACACGUUAAGUG